rnacentral:rRNA from 1 species
UACGGAGGGGGCUAGCGUUGUUCGGAAUUACUGGGCGUAAAGCGCACGUAGGCGGCUUUGUAAGUUAGAGGUGAAAGCCUGGGGCUCAACUCCAGAACUGCCAUUAAGACUGCAUCGCUUGAACACGGGAGAGGUGAGUGGAAUUCCGAGUGUAGAGGUGAAAUUCGUAGAUAUUCGGAAGAACACCAGUGGCGAAGGCGGCUCACUGGACCGUUGUUGACGCUGAGGUGCGAAAGCGUGGGGAGCAAACAGG